rnacentral:rRNA from 1 species
AUUGAACGCUGGCGGCAGGCCUAACACAUGCAAGUCGAACGAGUGGCGGACGGGUGAGUAAUGUCUGGGAAACUGCCUGUUGGAGGGGGAUAACUACUGGAAACGGUCGCUAAUACCCCAUACUCUCGGUUUUACCCAGAUGGGAUUAGCUGGUGGGUGGGGGAACGGCUCACUUGGGGGACGAUCCCUAGCCGGGUUGAGAGGAUGACCAGCCACACGGGAACUGAGACACGGCCCAAACUCCUACGGGAGGCAGCAUUGGGGAAUAUUGCACAAUGGGCGCAAGCCUGAUGCAGCCAGGCCGCGUGUAGGAAGAAGGCCUUCGGGUUGUAAAGUACGUUCAGCGGGGAGGCGGUACCCGCAGAAGAAGCACCGGCUAACUCCGUGCCAGCCGCCGCGGUAAUAC